rnacentral:rRNA from 1 species
CCAGACUCCUACGGGAGGCAGCAGUGAGGAAUAUUGGUCAAUGGCCGGAAGGCUGAACCAGCCAAGUCGCGUGAGGGAAUAAGGCCCUAUGGGUCGUAAACCUCUUUUGUCAGGGAGCAAAGGCGUCCACGUGUGGACGAGAGGAGAGUACCUGAAGAAAAAGCAUCGGCUAACUCCGUGCCAGCAGCCGCGGUAAUACGGAGGAUGCGAGCGUUAUCCGGAUUUAUUGGGUUUAAAGGGUGCGUAGGCGGAAGGUUAAGUCAGCGGUCAAAUGUCGGUGCUCAACACCGGCCUGCCGUUGAAACUGGUCUUCUUGAGUGAGCGAGAAGUAUGCGGAAUGCGUGGUGUAGCGGUGAAAUGCAUAGAUAUCACGCAGAACUCCGAUUGCGAAGGCAGCAUACCGGCGCUCAACUGACGCUCAUGCACGAAAGCGUGGGUAUCGAACAGGAUUAGAUACCCCGUACAA